AUUGAACGCUGGCGGCAGGCCCAACACAUGCAAGUCGAGCGGGGUUUUCGGACCUAGCGGCGGACGGGUGAGUAAUGCGUAGGAAGCUACUCGAUAGAGGGGGAUACCAGUUGGAAACGACUGUUAAUACCGCAUAAUGUCUACGGACCAAAGUGUGGGACCUUCGGGCCACAUGCUAUCGGAUGCGCCUACGUGGGAUUAGCUAGUUGGUGAGGUAAUGGCUCACCAAGGCGACGAUCUCUAGCUGGUUUGAGAGGAUGAUCAGCCACACUGGAACUGAGACACGGUCCAGACUCCUACGGAGGCAGCAGUGGGGGAAUAUUGGACAAUGGGCGAAAGACCUGAUCCAGCCAUGCCGCGUGUGUGAAGAAGGUCUUCGGAUUGUAAAGCACUUUAAGUUGGGAGGAAGGGUA
rnacentral:rRNA from 1 species